GAUGGUUGAGAGUUUUUUUUUUAUGACAUACUCUUUUCUCUGUUUUGCCUGCAGAUUUACUCUGCUUUGUACUUUUCAUUAAAAUGCUGUGCUUAGGUCAUCUUGUUUUGUUAGUGUUCCAUGACAGAUGAUGCAUGAUUCGAAAUCCACAACAGAGGAGCUUCAGGGUGGUAUGUACUUUCAUCGUCAGAAAAAAGACAAAAAAAUAUUCUGGAGCAAAAGCGGAACAAAUAGUGUGCAGAGGGAACAUAAUAAGAGCAUCAUAAAACUGGAGUAAACAGUUAUUAUGGCCUAAGGAAUGGGGUCUGUGGUCGGGGAAACACCACGGUUAGGCAAGAAUGCCACUUUCGCCAUCAUUUUUCCUGUUUUUCUCCUCUUGGUUUUCUCCAGUCUUUUUUAUCUGUUGAUAUUCUCUGCCCUGUGUUUUACCUGCUAUGAUUAAAGCUUCCUAACUUUUUCAUUAUUUUCUCUGAUUAUGCACACACAAAGCACUAACGUGAUAUUUAGAGCCCUGAAUCAUCAGUUUUAGGUCCACUGCGGCCUGUUCUACCCUUUAAUACUAAAACCAACAUCAAUCUCCAUGUUAAGAUCAGAGGUUUGUGUGUUCUCAUUUAGGCAGGUAAGUUUGGGUCAUCUGUUGGGUCCUAACAGAAAACACUGGCAAAUCUUCUGCUGUGAGCCCUUCUGAGAUGUGCUGCCUGACUUUCAUUAACUCUCAGGGUUACACUUGAAACUUGAGAAGAAAGGAAAUGAUCUAGAGGACAUCCUAGGACUAAAUUAAAU